rnacentral:rRNA from 1 species
CGCAAGCCUGAUCCAGCCAUGCCGCGUGCAGGAUGAAGGCCUUCGGGUUGUAAACUGCUUUUGUACGGAACGAAAAGGUUUGGCCUAAUAAGCUGAGCUCAUGACGGUACCGUAAGAAUAAGCACCGGCUAACUACGUGCCAGCAGCCGCGGUAAUACGUAGGGUGCGAGCGUUAAUCGGAAUUACUGGGCGUAAAAGCGUGCGCAGGCGGUUAUGUAAGACAGAUGUGAAAUCCCCGGGCUCAACCUGGGAACUGCAUUAGUGACUGCAUAGCUGGAGUACGGCAGAGGGGGAUGGAAUUCCGCGUGUAGCAGUGAAAUGCGUAGAUAUGCGGAGGAACACCGAUGGCGAAGGCAAUCCCCUGGGCCUGUACUGACGCUCAUGCACGAAAGCGUGGGGAGCAAACAGGAUUAGAUACCCUGGUAG